rnacentral:rRNA from 1 species
GCAUGGGAUUUUGGCCAAUGGCAAGGCUGAUGCAGGGACGCCGCUGAGGAUGACGCUUCGGGUUGUUAACUUUUUCAGCAGGGAAGAAGCGCGAGUGACGUACUGCAGAAGAAGCGCCGCUACUACGUGCCAGCAGCCGCGUUAUUACGUAGGGGCAAGCGUUUGUCCGGAAUUAUUGGGCGUAAAGAGCUUGUAGGCGCCUUGUCGCGUCGGUUGUGAAAGCCCGGGGCUUAACCUCCGGUUCUGCAGUCGAUACGGGCAGGCUAGAGUUCGGUAGGGGAGAUCGGAAUUCUUGGUGUAGCGGUGAAAUGCGCAGAUAUCAGGAGGACCACCGGUGGCGAAGGCGGAUCUCUGGGCCGAUACUGACGUUGAGGAGCGAAAGCGUGGGGAGCGACCAGGAUUAGAUACCUUGGUAGUCCACGCCGUAAACGGUGGGCAUUAGGUGUGGGCACCAUUCCACGUGGUCCGUGCGGCAGUUAACCCAUUAAGUGCCCCCCUUGGGGAGUACGGCCGCAAGGUUAAAAUUCAAAGGAAUUGACGGGGGCCCGCCCAAGCGGCGGACCAUGUGGCUUAAUUGGACGCAACGGGAAGACCCUUACCAAGGCUUGACAUCCCCCGGAAACCCUUGGAGACAGGGUCCCCCUUGUGGUCGGUGUCCAGGUGGUCCAUGGUUGUCUUCAGUUCGUUUCGUGAGAUGUUGGGUUAAUUCCCGCAACGAGCCCAACCCUUUUCCCGUGUUGCCACCAGGCCCUUGUGGUGAUGGGGACUCACGGGAGACCGCCGGGGUCAACUCGGAGGAAGGUGGGGACGACGUCAAGUCAUCAUGCCCCUUAUGUCUUGGGCUGCACACGUGCUACAAUGGCCGGUACAAAGAGCUGCGAAACCGUGAGGUGGAGCGAAUCUCAAAAAGCCGGUCUCAGUUCGGAUUGGGGUCUGCAACUCGACCCCAUGAAGUCGGAGUCGCUAGUAAUCGCAGAUCAGCAUUGCUGCGGUGAAUACGUUCCCGGGCCUUGUACACACCGCCCGUCACGUCACGAAAGUCGGUAACACCCGAAGCCGGUGGCCCAACCCCUUGUGGGAGGGAGCAUCGAAU